rnacentral:rRNA from 1 species
UACAGAGGGUGCGAGCGUUAAUCGGAAUUACUGGGCGUAAAGCGUGCGCAGGCGGUUUUGUAAGUCUGUCGUGAAAUCCCCGGGCUUAACCUGGGAAUUGCGAUGGAGACUGCAAGGCUAGAAUCUGGCAGAGGGGGGUAGAAUUCCACGUGUAGCAGUGAAAUGCGCAGAUAUCAGGAAGAACACCCGUGGCGAAAGCGGCUCUCUGGAACGGUACUGACGCUGAGACGCGAAAGCGUGGGGAGCGAACAGG